rnacentral:rRNA from 1 species
UACGGGGGGUGCAAGCGUUACUCGGAAUCACUGGGCGUAAAGAGCAUGUAGGCUGGUUUGUAAGUUGGAAGUGAAAUCCUAUGGCUUAACCAUAGAACUGCUUCCAAAACUGCAGACCUAGAAUAUGGGAGAGGUAGAUGGAAUUUCUGGUGUAGGGGUAAAAUCCGUAGAGAUCAGAAGGAAUACCGAUUGCGAAGGCGAUCUACUGGAACAUUAUUGACGCUGAGAUGCGAAAGCGUGGGGAGCAAACAGG